rnacentral:lncRNA from 1 species
AGUAUAAUACUGCAAUGUCACUAUAUUUAAAUCUAGUCAUAAAAAAUCACCAAAGUCUAAUCACAAUACAAGACAAGAACAGACAGACAGAUACGGUAUUAAUAAUUAUGAGAAUUACGAUUUUUGCUUUAUCCUACAUAUCGGUCUUUUAAUGUUGUCUCUAAUACCUAAAAGUCCUAAAUCACGAUGAAUCUUUGUUUUUGCUUUGGGACCUGAUUGUCGAAAAAAUAUCUAAAAAUUAAUUAAGCCGUUUCAAUGCAAGAAAGAGUCUGGGAAACGCUCAGAAUGCACGAUUUUGCGUUAUUUUUCUCAGAGCUUCUGGGGGCCUUAAGCGGCCCCCAGACCCCUCGCCCAAAAUUUUCGCCUCGCUCCGCUCGGCGAAUAUAUUUUGCCUCACUUUUAAAAGAGGCUAGUUACGGCC